UACGAAGGGAGCUAGCGUUGUUCGGAAUCACUGGGCGUAAAGCGCACGUAGGCGGAUGUGUCAGUCAGGGGUGAAAUCCCGGAGCUCAACUUCGGAACUGCCUCUGAUACAGCACGUCUUGAGUCCGAUAGAGGUGGGUGGAAUUCCUAGUGUAGAGGUGAAAUUCGUAGAUAUUAGGAAGAACACCGGUGGUGAAGGCGGCUAUCUGGACCGACAUUGACGCUGAGGCGCGAAAGCGUGGGGAGCAAACAGG
rnacentral:rRNA from 1 species